GACGUACCACCCAAACGUUAUUCGGAAUCACUGGGCUUAAAGGGUCCGUAGGCGGCCAAGAAAGUUGGGUGUGAAAUACCUCAGCUCAACUGAGGAAUAGCGCUCAAAACUACUUGGCUCGAGAAAGACAGAGGUGAGCGGAACUGAUGGUGGAGCGGUGAAAUGACAUUGAUAUCAUCAGGAACACCGGUGGCGAAAGCGGCUCACUGGGUCUUUUCUG
rnacentral:rRNA from 1 species